CACGCACGCGUACAUCCUCCCUUCCUCCACUGUCCUCCGUGUCUAGGAGCGCCGUUAAACCGAAAGCCUCUCGCCCAUGGCACGCGACUGAUGGGAUUCUGGCAUGCUUGAUCUGUUCCCAUCAUUAUAGUUCGUGUUAUUUUGUUGAUGACGGCGGAUCGAUCGGUUUGAUUGGCAGCCAUCUGGUUUAAACCACAGGAGAGAUUUUCACCAUCAUGCAGAAGGUGGAGGGACGGCCAGCCCCGGGCAGCAUAUCCUCCUCCUUGCGGGGUCCAAGUGCUCCUGGCUCACCCAGCAUCAUGGCCCGUGUGAAUGACGAAGUGGUGGAGUACAGGGAUCUUGCUGCUCUGCCCAGAGAUAAAAGUAUUCUACAGGUGGAGAGACCAGAUUUGAUGACCUACCAACCCCACCUCACCUUCUCACCGCUAGACGCGCCGCGUACGCCCCGUAGAGAGAGAUCCCUCUCUCCUUCCUCCAUCUCUCCUCCUCCCUCUCCUGAGCUGAAGGAGUAUAGAGAGGGGGGAGGGUCUCCAGGAGGCUCCACAUUGCAGCUCCGAAAGACAGCCACCCCUGUACAGCAACACUUCCACACGCCAGAUAAUGGUGCCAACAUCUACAAGAAGCUGCCAAAUUUUAAACAGGAGGUCAGCAAGCACCACGUGAUGGCCAGCAUCAUCCAGUCGUCUAUGUUCCCAGCAGCUCAGAAACCAGACCCCAACCUGCCCUCAAAGAUAGAAACAGAGUACUGGCCUUGUCCUCCUUCACUGGCUACUAUGGAGAUCGAGUGGAGGAGGAAGAAGGAGGAAGAGGAAGAGGGGAAGGAUGAAUUUGAAGACCUGACUGAUGACGCCAAGACACUGCAGGAGCAGGAGCUCCACAAGAUCAAGUCUAACCUGGGCAGGCUGAUCCUGAAGGAGGAGAAGGAGGAGAAGGAGAAGGCUCUACUUGGCAUUGGACGCAGGAAGACUCAGUCACUGCCAGACAGAACGCACAUGCACACCAGUUCCUCCUUGAAGUCCUCCUCCCGCUCAGGUCUGACCAGGAUGCAGUCAGCAGAGUUCGCUAUAGAGGGGGAUCAGGGCAGAGCAGAGGUAAGAGAAUGGAGAGGCACCGCGGGAAAGGAUGGACAGAGGAAACUCACUGCCAAGUAUGCUGGAACAGACGAUCUACCCAUAUGAAAUGCUCAUAGUCACCCAUAGAGGGCGCCGCAAGCUUCCGCCGGGCGUGGACCGUACCAGGCUGGAGAGACACCUUUCUCCUGAGGACUUUGAGCGUCUGUUCGGAAUGCCCAUUGCUGAGUUCGACCGCCUGUCGCUAUGGAAACGAAAUAAUCUGAAGAAAAACGUUCAACUUUUCUAGCAGGAAGUGACCUUAUCCGUCAGACAGGAAACAGGAACCGCUACACUGCCUAACGAAGAAUACCACACAACACCAAACUAUCACUCCCUAACUAUCCAUAUCACAUACUAACUUAUCCUAUAUCAUAUCGUACACAUAUUCUUCUAUCUGUAUGUUCCUUCGUAUCCUUUAGUCGCCACUAGCUUUACUAUAGAGCAUCAGUAUAGAGACAAGCCUGACCCUAACCAACUCUAUCAUUAUCUACUGCCUCCCUACCCCCAUACACACACAAUACAUAUUAUGGCUUUUAAUACUCAAACUGGAAAUAUUAUUUUCAUGAUAAAUCCAUGUACAUUAUCAGAGAUCUUAUAAAUGUGGUUAAUGAUUGAUCGAUUGGGAUCUUUGUCUUCUGUAACGUAUUAGUUCUUAAUUCAUGUUAAUGUGUUACCCAAGAUUGAGGUUGACCAAGAGAGAUUAUAUCUCUUAGUCUCACAAAACAGUAGAGCAAUCUUUUUUCCCUGUGGAACAUCAGAAAUGACUAACAUUCCAAUCCCACAUCGAACCAAGGACCAGACCCAUACCUCCCAACCCUACAGUGUAUAUGCCGAGUUUAGAAAAUGAAUAAAAUAUGAAUAAAAUAAA